rnacentral:rRNA from 1 species
UAGGGAAUAUUGCAAAAUGGGCGAAAGCCCGAUGCAGCAACGCCGCGUGGGCGAUGAAGGCCUUCGGGUCGUAAAGCCCUUUUUGAGGGGAUGAGGAAGGACAGUACCCUCAGAAUAAGCCUCGGCUAACUACGUGCCAGCAGCCGCGGUAAAACGUAGGAGGCGAGCGUUAUCCGGAUUUACUGGGCGUAAAGCGCGUGCAGGCGGAUUGGAGAGUUGGAUGUGAAAGCUCCCGGCUUAACUGGGAGAGGUCGUUCAAUACUUCCAGUCUUGAGUGCAGUGGAGGGAAGUGGAAUUCCGGGUGUAGUGGUGAAAUGCGUAGAUAUCCGGAGGAACACCAGUGGCGAAAGCGGCUUCCUGGACUGUAACUGACGCUCAGACGCGAAAGCUAGGGUAGCAAACG